GGAUGCGAUCAUACCAGCACUAAAGCACCGGAUCCCAUCAAAACUCCGAAGUUAAGCAUGCUUGGGCGAGAGUAGUACUAGGAUGGGUGACCUCCUGGGAAGUCCUCGUGUUGCAUUCC
rnacentral:rRNA from 2 species